rnacentral:rRNA from 1 species
CCUACGGGAGGCUGCAGUCGAGAAUCAUUCACAAUGGGGGAAACCCUGAUGGUGCGACGCCGCGUGGGGGAAUGAAGGUCUUCGGAUUGUAAACCCCUGUCAUGUGGGAGCAAAUUAAAAAGAUAGUACCACAAGAGGAAGAGACGGCUAACUCUGUGCCAGCAGACGCGGUAAUACAGAGGUCUCAAGCGUUGUUCGGAAUCACUGGGCGUAAGGCGUGCGUAGGCUGUUUCGUAAGUCGUGUGUGAAAGGCGCGGGCUCAACCCGCGGACGGCACAUGAUACUGCGAGACUAGAGUAAUGGAGGGGGAACCGGAAUUCUCGGUGUAGCAGUGAAAUGCGUAGAUAUCGAGAGGAACACUCGUGGCGAAGGCGGGUUCCUGGACAUUAACUGACGCUGAGGCACGAAGGCCAGGGGAGCGAAAGGGAUUAGAUACCCGAGUAGUC